UACGGGGGGGGCAAGCGUUGUUCGGAAUUACUGGGCGUAAAGGGCGUGUAGGUGGCCAACUAAGUCCGACGUGAAAUCCCCAGGCUUAACCUGGGAACUGCGUCAGAUACUGGAUGGCUUGAAUUCGGGAGAGGGAUGCAGAAUUCCAGGUGUAGCGGUGAAAUGCGUAGAUAUCUGGAGGAACACCGGUGGCGAAGGCGGCUUGCUGGGCCAGUUCUGACGCUGAGGAGCGAAAGCGCGGGGAGCGAACAGG
rnacentral:rRNA from 1 species